rnacentral:rRNA from 1 species
UACGGAGGAUCCGAGCGUUAUCCGGAUUUAUUGGGUUUAAAGGGUGCGUAGGCGGGCCUUUAAGUCAGCGGUGAAAGUUCGUGGCUCAACCACGGAAUUGCCGUUGAUACUACUGGCCUUGAGUGUGGACGAAGUGAGCGGAAUUCGUGGUGUAGCGGUGAAAUGCUUAGAUAUCACGAAGAACACCGAUUGCGUAGGCAGCUCACUAGACCACAACUGACGCUGAGGCACGAAGGUGCGGGGAUCAAAC